CUUACUGCUGCGCUCGAGUUGAAAGGCGCACUGUGAUUCGCCCAAAAUCCAGACGCCGUUUCUUUCAGGCCUGCUGAUUGGUCACAAUGGUGUUGGGCGGAUCCCUGCGGAUUUAAAAACAUAGUACGUUUGGAUUCGAACAUUCCUGGGGAUUUCCAUGCAGAUGACGGUCCAUCUACCUCAUCACAAAAUCUAAACAGUGUACGUACCUGACUGCAGUUGUAUUUGCAUCCUAUAAUGUUUUAUAUAUAAUUUUAUAACAUAAAAAUAUUCCCUUUUUAAUGCCUUCCUGGUUGUCAGCAAAGGCGCUGUAUAAGGUCCAUCUUCAACAACAAAUCAACUUGAGAUGCACCUUAUACAGCUCAAAAUAUAGAAGAAAAGACUGAAACUUGAAAUUGAAAUACUGGAGCACCGCCUUAAGGGCAUGAAGAAAUAAAGAGCACUCUUGGUGCAGAAAUCUUUUUUAAAAAAAAGGUGAUUCUGACAAAUCAUGUGUCUUAGGAGUCUUCCAUCUCUGUGGUCUACUUGGUUUACUACUAGAUCCUCUUGGUCAUCCUUAGCAGGACAAGGAGGGUGGCUCUCUCUUCUUCGUGACAAUGUUGUGAAGGACAACACAAGCCACUAUAAUGUCAAAUGCUGUCUCUGGACUGACCCUGAGACCUUGUAGACACUGGAACCUUGCCUUCAGAAUGUUUAUGGUCAUCUCCACUUUGGCCCGUGUUCUGCUGUGGGCCUGGUUGAACCUUGUCUGUGGUCCAGGCUAAGGUUCAGGGUAAGGUGUCAUCAAAUGGAGCAGACAACGGUACCCUCUGUCCCCAAGCAAGUAGCCAUUCUAGUGUCCUGUAAUGAUUGAAUUGUGUAAAACAAUACAGUAGAAACACAAACUUGUGUAAACUACAACAUACCCUGUUGAAACAUGUGACAUAGUGAUGACUCUCUGAACAUUCUGGUAUCAUCCACUGACCCUAGUAAUUUGGCUUCAACAUUAGUGAUGAGAUGGGUUGAAUCACACAUUACCUAGUUUGUGGAAACAGUAAUGAGUUUAAUUGUCUUUAAACCGAAAUAUUCUAGACAGGAAAUAAUAGUUACCUGCACAUUGAUACUGUAAAUUGACCUCCUAUUAAUAUAGUCUCACUCAUUGACUGAAGGGGCUUUAACAGGAAUGUGGGUGCGAUCAAUAAACCCAAUCACGUUGGAAACCUUGUUUUGUUAGUUCAUUAUUAUAUUCAUUGAGUGUUUUCUGCCUCCUGGUGUAUUUUUGUUUAGUUUUGAAGGAGUGUUUUGUGUUACCUAGAGUACCAAUUAA